rnacentral:rRNA from 1 species
GACGGAGGAUGCAAGCGUUAUCCGGAAUUAUUGGGCGUAAAGCGUCCGCAGGUGGCCUAUCAAGUCUGCUGUCAAAGACCGGGGCUUAACCCCAGAAAGGCAGUGGAAACUGAAAGGCUAGAGGAUGGUAGGGGCAGAGGGAAUUCCCAGUGUAGCGGUGAAAUGCGUAGAGAUUGGGAAGAACACCGGUGGCGAAAGCGCUCUGCUGGGCCAUGACUGACACUCAGGGACGAAAGCUAGGGGAGCGAAUGGG